GACGAACGCUGGCGGCGUGCCUAAUACAUGCAAGUAGAACGCACAGUUUAUACCGUAGCUUGCUACACCAUAAACUGUGAGUUGCGAACGGGUGAGUAACGCGUAGGUAACCUGCCUGGUAGCGGGGGAUAACUAUUGGAAACGAUAGCUAAUACCGCAUAAUAUUGAUUAUUGCAUGAUAAUUGAUUGAAAGAUGCUAUUGCAUCACUACCAGAUGGACCUGCGUUGUAUUAGCUAGUAGGUGAGGUAACGGCUCACCUAGGCGACGAUACAUAGCCGACCUGAGAGGGUGAUCGGGCACACUGGGACUGAGACACGGCCCAGACUCCUACGGGAGGCAGCAGUAGGGAAUCUUCGGCAAUGGACGAAAGUCUGACCGAGCAACGCCGCGUGAGUGAAGAAGGUUUUCGGAUCGUAAAGCUCUGUUGUAAGAGAAGAACGGGUGUGAGAGUGGAAAGUUCACACUGUGACGGUAGCUUACCAGAAAGGGACGGCUAACUACGUG
rnacentral:rRNA from 1 species